GGGUGAGAAGAAUCGAUUGGGGGAGGAUCGGGGAAGACGACCCGGAAAAAAGAAGACGGAAAUGGGCUUUCGGCCCAGGGAAAACGUGCUUCCGGCCCAGACGAACCUUGGAGCGACGCCGAACGUUUUCUGUUCCGCUGGAUACGCUGGAGUAGCGCCCGAAAGGUGGAUCGAAGGAGUCAUGAGAAGCUGGGAGACUGCCAAACCUCCCGGUAGCACCAGAGCUAUCUAGCCCCAUCGUUCUGUUCGUCCGAUCCGGGUCUUGAUUCAAUCGCACGGUCAUUUCUUAAUUCUUGUUUUUUUAUAGUGAAAUUAAUUGAAUUCCAUUUUUCCAUAGUGAAAUUAGAACAGUGAAAUCUUUGUUGAAAUUUUAUUUCCUAGGACAAAACCUAUUCCAUCUCUGACAGAUUGGAGUGUUGAUGGGAUAAUUAGAACAGUAGUGUUCAAGGCCAUGGCUCCACUCGCACUGGAAGCUUCUGCUUUCCAAAACGCCGUGAAGCUACCAUGAGUCUCGUCAACAGUCCACAAGAUGGUUUUGACUUUGAGGAGGAUGGCAACUGGUGCUCCUCAAGGGAUUGUUGUCCUUGCUCUUAUUUUGUUGUGGCCUGAAGCAUGUUAUGUAUGGUCUAAACUCUGAAUUUGUUUGUGUUGGCUGAGUUCCUGCUUGUCAUAAAAUUAACUGAGGCAACUGCUUUUUCCCA